UGAAGAGGAAACUUGCAGCCACACCAGCCCUUUAUGAAAUAGUUGGACAUGCCUGCUUUAAAGCCACUGUGCUCUUAUGUUCAGUUCAUAUUGAACUGGGGUCCUAUUUGUAAUGUUUGUGUCCCCUGGAUUUUCAGGGCAAAGGGCAAAUAGAUAAUUCUCCAGCUAAGCCAGACAGGAAAUCUGAUGAAAGAUGAAAAGUUUGCAGAGAUAUUUACUGCUCAAGAUUUCUGAAGUGGACUCAUUCCCUCUCGGUUGUGUGCAGCCAGCAAGUUCAACGUUGACUUAUGGUGGUUCACAACAAAGGAGAAGAAUAAAGUCAUCUGUAACUGAAGAAUCAUGGUCCCGUGUAUUUCCUGGAGGGAGUGACACAAAGGAAGGUUGAAAAGUGUUGAAAUGACCUUUAAAAAUAACCUUGUUUCAAUGUAUAAUGCAAUGCAUAGAUAAAUCAAUGUUGAUUUAAUUCUACAUUCUUUCAAUGCUGAUCAUAUAAUAGUUGAAUAAAGGUUGAGUCAUUGUCAGAAUUGA